rnacentral:SRP_RNA from 2 species
GCUGGGCGUGGUGGCGGGCACCUGUAAUCCCAGCUACUCGGGAGGCUGAGGCAGGAGAAUCGCUUGAACCCAGGAGGCGGAGGCUGCAGUGAGCCAAGAUCAUGCCACUGCACUCCAUCCUGGGUGACAGAGCGAGACUCUGCCUCAA